rnacentral:rRNA from 1 species
AUUGAACGCUGGCAGUAUGCCUAACACAUGCAAGUCGAACGAGGUAGCAAUACCUAGUGGCGGACGGGUGAGGAAUACGUAGGGAUCUGCCCUUAAGUGGGGGAUAACCCGGGGAAACCCGGAUUAAUACCGCAUGAUCUCGCAAGAGCAAAGAGGGGGACCGCAAGGCCUCUCGCUUUUGGAGGAACCUACGUCGGAUUAGCUAGUUGGUGAGGUAAUGGCUCACCAAGGCGACGAUCCGUAACUGGUCUGAGAGGAUGAUCAGUCACACCGGAACUGAGACACGGUCCGGACUCCUACGGGAGGCAGCAGUGGGGAAUAUUGGACAAUGGGCGAAAGCCUGAUCCAGCAAUACCGCGUGUGUGAAGAAGGCCU